rnacentral:rRNA from 1 species
UCGAAAGGUGUGCUAAUACCGCAUAAUCUCUGAGGAGAAAAGCGGGGGCUCGCAAGACCUUGCGCUUUUGGAGCGGCCGAUGUCUGAUUAGCUAGUUGGUGAGGUAAAGGCUCACCAAGGCGUCGAUCAGUAGCUGGUCUGAGAGGACGACCAGCCACACUGGGACUGAGACACGGCCCAGACUCCUACGGGAGGCAGCAGUGGGGAAUUUUGGACAAUGGGGGCAACCCUGAUCCAGCCAUGCUGCGUGAGUGAAGAAGGCCUUCGGGUUGUAAAGCUCUUUCGCAAGGGAAGAAAACUUAGCUCUUAAUACGGGCUGAGGAUGACGGUACCUUGAUAAGAAGCACCGGCUAACUACGUGCCAGCAGCCGCGGUAAUACGUAGGGUGCGAGCGUUAAUCGGAAUUACUGGGCGUAAAGCGUGCGCAGGCGGUUUCGUAAGUCAGAUGUGAAAGCCCCGGGCUCAACCUGGGAACUGC